rnacentral:rRNA from 1 species
UACGAGUGCCUCAAGCGUUAUCCGGAAUCAUUGGGCGUAAAGGUUGUGUAGGUGGUCAUAUUAGUCUUCUGUUAAAUUCUUCGGCUUAACCGGGGGCAUGCAGGGGAAGCGGUAUGACUUGAGGAUGCGAGGGGUCUGCGGAACUCAUAGUGUAGCGGUGAAAUGCGUUGAUAUUAUGGGGAACACCAAAAGCGAAGGCAGCAGACUGGAGCACUCCUGACACUGAAACAAGAAAGCGUGGGUCGCGAAUGGG